UGCGGAAUACUCGGGCAGCGCUGUGUUCAUUCCAGAAACGCUGGCACCAGGAACACCUGGAGGAACAGGAGGAGCACGUCUGCAGGAGCUAAUGCCAGGAGGGGUAAUUAAUGCCUCCCCCAGACCUUUAGAGGCGCAGGCACAGAAUCACUUGGAAUUCCAAACUCUGCACAUUUGUGUCUGCCUUGGGAGAGCGACAGCGCGGCCGUGGGGGGAGAGCUGGUCAGGCUGGGCUCUCCUCACUCAGCUGGAAUUCCCUGGGAAGCCACGAACGGCUGCUCCCUUCGGUGGGAUGUCAAUGAACGAGUGUCAAGCUGGCCAUUUGCAAGGGAUGAGGUGCAAAUUGGGCAGAAAAUUCCCGAUUUAACCUUCAGGCAGGCUCUGAGCCCCUCCUCGGGAUCCUCUGCAUGGGGCAGGAGCGGCAUCUGCGCUGCCCAGCUCCCUUCGAUCUGCCUAAACCUUCCACAAAGCAGUUCUUCAACAUCUGAAGAAGACUCCAAAAAGAAAAUGCAAAUAAACAGAGCUUUUUUUUUUCCAAGGCGUUGAAGGGGAUUAGUGAGAGUCCCACCCUCUCUGCUCCCAUUUGCAUUCGGUGUUCCGACGGCACUUGACUCUGAAAUCAUUCCAGUAAAGCGGAAAAUUAAUAUUCUAAUAUGCCUGCUUCUCCAGCAGCUACAAAUAACCAAGCAGUCUCUGCCGCUCAUGUGCAGCACACAGACGGAAUUUUGGCAGCUGAGAGCAUCCCCGGCUGGCAGAGCCCACAGCCCUGCGUGUGCCACACGUGGGAAGCUACAAAUGCAUCCCUGGCUUUCCCAUUCUCCUCCUUUUCUCACCCAAACAGGCUCUGCGUGCUCCACCUGCUUAUUAGCAGCAGGGAUUUGCUGCUAAUGCUCUUUUACAUCUCCAUCAUAACAUUAAGAAAUACUGAAAUCUCUCUAUUUAAGUUGCUCUGGUGAAGUACAGUACAUUAAUCAUAAAUAAUUUAUACGAAUCUGUCCUGUUUUUGGGCACAUCUCAGCGGUGUCUUGGUAACAUCCUUUCCACGGAACCUUGAUCUGUGUUCUCUUAUAAAAGCAAAAAUAGAGGGGAAAACAAAGAGCGCAAAGUAGGUGAGUGUUCCUUCCCCGUCUCCCGCUGGAUGGGAACAAUCCCGGGAGGUUUCCCCGAGGCAGGAUUUCAGGAUUUUCAGGGAUCGCUGCCGGUGGAGCCCCCGGGCCGUGUCCGGAGCGCUGCCCUGGGAGCUGCGGGGUUCCUGGAGCUCCCAGGAGCGGCGGCAGCGAACGCGUCCCCCGGAGCAUCUGGGAACAGCCAGGUGUCAUUGUCAUUUAUUUCCUGCCAUUUGAUCCCUGCACUGCAUUGUUUACAAUUCACUCGGGCUGCUCGUGCCGCUCUGCUGCCCUCAGGAAUCCUUCGGCCGGGCCAUGGAAGAGCACUGUGAUCCUUCAUGUGGAUUUUCCUGGAUUGGCAACACCCAUUGUCUUGGUGUGACUCGUUAAACCCCUCACAGCAGGGGCGUGGACAGCCUUUUAUCUCCCAUCGUGGCAGGGCGCAGGCAUCA